rnacentral:rRNA from 1 species
UUAAAGGAAUUGACGGGGAGCACCACAACGGGUGGAGCUUGCGGUUUAAUUGGAUUCAACGCCGGAAAUCUUACCGAGACCGACAGCAAUAUGAAGGCCAGGCUGAAGACUUUGCCGGAUUAGCUGAGAGGUGGUGCAUGGCCGUCGUCAGUUCGUACUGUGAAGCAUCCUGUUAAGUCAGGCAACGAGCGAGACCCACGCCCACAGUUGCCAGCGUACUCUCUGGAGUGACGGGUACACUGUGGGGACCGCCGCUGCUAAAGCGGAGGAAGGAAUGGGCAACGGUAGGUCAGUAUGCCCCGAAUAUCCCGGGCUACACGCGAGCUACAAUGGUUGGUACAAUGGGUAUCUACCCCGAAAGGGGACGGGAAUCUCCUAAAACCAAUCUUAGUUCGGAUUGAGGGCUGCAACUCGCCCUCAUGAAGCUGGAAUCCGUAGUAAUCGCGUUUCAACAGAACGCGGUGAAUACGUCCCUGCUCCUU